CUUGCAUUCCCCACGUGAAUUUUUGAGGCCAGCCCUGCGCUUAAAGCCCGAGUGUGUCGCGGGGAGUGUAAGCAGAGGUUUUGCCAUACAGCCAAACGCGAUAAUUCUCUUGCGAGAUUUCCACAGUUUUGUGGCGGUCUUACUCGAGGCUUAGAGCCAGAAGCCUCCCAAGGGCUGGGACUACAGGGGCGCACCACCAGGCUAGGUUCACUUCACUUAUCUUAUCUGGUUUGGGGGACUAAAGAUCUCUCCUCGCGAUGAGCCAGAACCAUCGUCGCCAGCGUCCUCCUUGGCCGGUAGGAGGCGCUAGAGGCCCGCCGUGUGCCGGAGCUCAGGCUUCUGCCUCCCUACCAAUAGCGUCAGUCUCUUGGUCCUAACCCUGCGCCCAUUUAAUAGACGCGGUUCCGGCCCAGGCCGGAGUCAGGUACCCAUUACGGAACAGACCCAGAAUUCAACCUUAAAAGCAUUCAUCUCCAAAAUCCCUGCCCCGGUCCGCUCCUGUGCUCACUGCACACUUGGUGCAGCAAAACCUCAGGCGUGGGUUCGGAUCCCCCUUCCUAUGCUGCUGGCCUGGUGCUGUCAGGGAGGACAGCGCGCCCUAGAGCUCAGCUUCCCUGUGCAGUCCCGAUUAUUAGGAUGGAGGUGUAAGUGGGCUCCCACUGGCACGGGCCGGCACCACGAGUGCCUAGUAAACUAGUAAACGGUGACAGGGAAGAGACACCCCGAUCCGGGCCAGCCGGGCGGGGUGCAGGCCGGACGCCCCCGGUGGGCCGGCGGCGGCGGCGCAGCCUCUCCCGGCGGUAAUCAGCCCCCGCCCUCGGCUCCGCCAGCCGCUAAUUACACGUCUCCUAAUGAGGCCGGCGGCUGUUUGCAAGCACGCGGGUCCCCGCCCCGCGGGGGCGGCCGUGGUGGGCCAGCGGCAGGCGGAGGAGGGGACUGAGGCUUAGAGGGACGGACGCACGCAGGCAUGACUCACGCGGGGAGACAGCCUGAUCCCCGCUGAGCCCGGACCUGUGCGCUGAGCCCAUUCAUCACCCUUCCGCGCUAACUCUUCUUACUGCGGUCAGAUGGGCGUGCCUGGAUCGGAUCGGAUCAGGCCGACUGGGGCCCGGGCUCCCUCCCCUUUGGGUCUGCCCCUCCUCACUCCCAAGCUUUGGCUCAACCACAGACCCAAAGGUUAGUUCCAGCAACACCUUAUAAAAACCUAUUUUAAAACAACUCAUGUAACUCGUUAUCAGACUGGAAGUUUGGACGAUUCCCUAGGAAAAGGUUGGGGUAGUUGCUAAUAAAACGCUCAGCUUAGGGGUUCAGGUGAGAUGUAAAGUGGGGGAGGAGCUUGCUGUGAGGGCUGAAGAUAGGAGUUGGAUCUCCGAGACGGACCAUGUUGUCCUCUAACCUCCACGUGUGUACACGUACCUACCUCUCCCUAAAUAAAUUUAGAUGGGGGCGGCAAGAGGCAGCUUGCAAAGGUCUGAGUGCCUUCCCCAAGCCGUUGCUCACCCUUUUCUUCUUUGAGACAGGGUCUCAGUAUGUGUCCCUGGCUGGCCCUGACCGUACCCUGUAGAUCAUGGUAGCCGCCUCUGCGGGUGUUAAAGGUAUGAAGUCCUUCGCCCAGCUUUAGGGUGCUUUUACUCUGAGAUGCUGGAGAUGUAUUGUGGGGCUGAGCAAGUGCUCUUGUUGCCAAGGUACAGCCCCAACCUCGGGGCUUUCUCGUUGCCAAGGUACAGCCCCAACCUCGGGGCUUUCUCGGGAGUCCCUUUCAGAGUCUAGAUGGCGCCACGGAGGAUGCUGGCAGGAGACCUGAACCUGAUUGGCAGUUUCUGCAGCAGCCACUGCCCUCUGCCUCGAAGCCUGUCAACCCAUUUCCUGUUUCUUUCGUUUGUUUUUGUUUUUUAAGGAAUAAAAAAAAAACACCUGGU